rnacentral:rRNA from 1 species
GUAGGUGGCAAGCGUUGUCCGGAAUUAUUGGGCGUAAAGCGCGCGCAGGCGGUCCUUUAAGUCUGAUGUGAAAGCCCACGGCUCAACCGUGGAGGGUCAUUGGAAACUGGGGGACUUGAGUACAGAAGAGGAAAGCGGAAUUCCAAGUGUAGCGGUGAAAUGCGUAGAGAUUUGGAGGAACACCAGUGGCGAAGGCGGCUUUCUGGUCUGUAACUGACGCUGAGGCGCGAAAGCGUGGGGAGCAAACAGGGAUUAGAUACCCUGGUAGUCCACGCCGUAAACGAUGAGUGCUAAGUGCUAGGGGGGUUUUCCGCCCCCCUUAGUGCUGCAGCUAACGCAUUAAGCACUCCGCCUGGGAGUACGGCCGCAAGGCUG